AUUGGUGUGUUACAUGUGUAUACCGAUUUUUGUACAUGUACGUGAAACAUAGCUCGAGGCGCACUCUGUUGAAAGUGUAUAGGUGGCGCUAUCGAGCCAUUUUGCCACACCUGAUGGAAUUUUGGCCUUCAGAUGUGUUCAGGCCAGGACUCUUAUCACACAUGUGAAGUUUGGGGAAGAUCGGACAUUUUAUGCCUGAGUUAUAAGAUCUUUUAUUCCCAUGGCGAGACAUCAAACUUCGUGACGGCGCCAUGGACACACCUUUUAACGAAAACUCAAGAUCUUCACAACUUAACAUCGCACAGGGCUUUAGAUUAGACUGACCACAAAAAAUACAUUGAUGUCAUAAAAUUUCUAGGAGUAGUUCAUCGCAGUGUAAAAUAUGUCACUUCCCGUUGCCAAUAGGUGGCGCUAUGACUAUAAUUGAAUAUGGGCAUGUCAAUCUGUUCAGGUCAGGAGUUUCAUCAAACAUGUGAAGUUUGGGGCAGAUUGGUCAUUGUAUGUCUGAGUUAUAGCAACUUCAUUUUUCAUGGCGAAUCAUCGAAAUUCGCCAGGCCGCCACGGACACGCCCAUUAACGAAAACUCAAAAGCUUCGCAAUUUAACAUCGCAAAGGCCUUCAGAUUAGGCAUACUAAAUUUGGUGUUGAUCUGAAUGAAUCUCUAGGAGGAGUUCGUUAAAAUACAACGCAUGGAAAUGACAAAAAUGACACAAAAUUUGCUCAUAAUAUUAGUAAUAACCGACUUCCUGUUGGGUUUCGGAUUUUGCUCCAAGAGACUUUUUUGUAGGUAUUGGAGAGUUACAUGUGUAUACCGAUUUUCAUACAUGUACAUGAAACGUAGCUCGAGGCGCACACCGUUGAACGUGUAUAGGUGGCGCUGUUGAGCCAUUUUGCCACACCCACUUCUGAAACCCAUAUCAGACGUAAAUUUUCGCCAGUUCUGAGGUGUGUGCAAAGUUUCAUGACUUUUCGAGCAUGUUUAGGCCCUCAAAAAUGCGAUUCAUUUUGGAGAAGAAGAAUAAUAAUAAUAAUAAUAAUAAUAAUAAUAAUAAUAAACGGAGCAAUUCCAAGAGGGUCCUCACACCAUCGGUGCUCGGGCCCUAAUAAUAAUAAUAAUAAUAAUAAUAAUAAUAAUAAUAAUAAUAAUAAUAAACGGAGCAAUUCCAAGAGGGUCCUCACACCAUCGGUGCUCGGGCCCUAAUUAAAGCUGCAAGCAGCGAUGAACGGGCCCUCGCACCCGGGCUCACCGGCAGCGAGUGGCUUUAGUUAAUAGGUGAACGGUGAGAAAUAUGCGUUUAAACUCAUAAAUAUAAGUAGAAUAUAUCAAUGUUUAUUCCAUAUAUGUGCCAAUCUUCCUGUUGCCAGCAGGUGGCGCUAUCAUUAUAAUGGAAUAUUGGCCUUCAGAUGUGUACAGGGCAGGACUUUUAUCGAACAUGUGAGGUUUGGGGAGGAUUGAACCCGCCCUUUAACGAAACCUCAAGUCCUUCGCAAUUUAUUAUCGCAAAGGGCUUUAGAUUACACUGACCAAUUUUGGUGUUGAUCUGAAUAAAUCUCUAGGAGGAGUUCGUUAAAGUACAACCCCUGAAAAUGGCAAAAACAACACCAAUUUUGAAGGGAAAAUUCAAAAUAACCGACUUCCUGUUGGGAUCCGGAUUUCGUACCAAGAGACUUUUUUGUAGGUAUUGGUGUGUUACAUGUGUGUACCAAUUUUUGUACAUGUACGUGAAACAUAGCUCGAGGCGCACUCCGUUGAAAGUGUAUAGGUGGCGCUAUAGAGCCAUUCUGCCACACCCGGUGGAAUAUUGGCCUGCAGAUCUGUUCAGGCCAGGCCUCUUAUCACACAUGUGAAGUUUGGGGAAGAUCAGACAUUUUAUGCCUGAGUUAUAACAUCUUUUAUUCCCAUGGCGAGACAUCGAACUUCAUCGCGGCGCCAUGAACAAGCCUUUUAACGAAAACUCAAGAUCUUCACAACUGAACAUCGCACAGGCCUUUAGAUUAGAGUGACCACAAAAAAGACAUUGAUGUCAUAAAAUUUCUAGGAGUAGUUCGUCGCAGCGUAAAAUAUGUCACUUCCUGUUGCCAAUAGGUGGCGCUAUGAUUAUAACUGAAUAUGGGCAUGUCAAUCUGUUCAGGUUCGGAAUCUCAUCAAACAUGUGAAGUUUGGGGCAGAUUGGACAUUGUAUGUGUGAGUUAUAGCAACUUCAUUUUUCAUGGCGAAUCAUUGAAAUUCGCCAGGCCGCCACGGACACGCCCUUCAACGAAAACUCAAGAUCUUCGCAAUUUAACAUCGCAAAGGCCUUUAGAUUAGGCAUACCAAAUUUGGUGUUGAUUUGAAGAAAUCUCUAGGAGGAGUUCGUUAAAAUACAACACAUGGAAAUGACCAAAAUUACACAAAAUAUGCUCAUAAUAUUAAAAAUAACCGACUUCCUGUUGGGUUUAGAAUUUCGCUCCAAGAGUCUUUUUUGUAGGUAUUGGUGUGUUACAUAUGUAUGUCAAUUUUCGUGCAUGUACGUGAAACAUAGCUGGAAGGCUGUUGAUUUUCUUGGUAUAGGUGGCGCUGUCGAGCCAUUUUGCCACACCCUCUUCUGAAUCCUAUAUCAGACAAAAAUUUUCACCAGGUUUGACGCGUGUGCAAAGUUUCAUGA